rnacentral:rRNA from 1 species
UACGUAGGGUGCGAGCGUUGUCCGGAAUUAUUGGGCGUAAAGAGCUCGUAGGCGGUUUGUCGCGUCGGCCGUGAAAACUUGGGGCUUAACCCCAAGCCUGCGGUCGAUACGGGCAGACUUGAGUUCGGCAGGGGAGACUGGAAUUCCUGGUGUAGCGGUGAAAUGCGCAGAUAUCAGGAGGAACACCGGUGGCGAAGGCGGGUCUCUGGGCCAUUCCUGACGCUGAGACGCGAAAGCUAGGGGAGCGAACAGG